rnacentral:rRNA from 1 species
UGGGGAAUUUUGGACAAUGGGCGAAAGCCUGAUCCAGCAAUGCCGCGUGUGUGAAGAAGGCCUUCGGGUUGUAAAGCACUUUUGUCCGGAAAGAAAUCCUCUGGGUUAAUACCUCGGGGGGAUGACGGUACCGGAAGAAUAAGCACCGGCUAACUACGUGCCAGCAGCCNCGGUAAUACGUAGGGUGCAAGCGUUAAUCGGAAUUACUGGGCGUAAAGCGUGCGCAGGCGGUUUUGUAAGACGGAUGUGAAAUCCCCGGGCUUAACCUGGGAACUGCAUUCGUGACUGCAAGGCUAGAGUAUGGCAGAGGGGGGUAGAAUUCCACGUGUAGCAGUGAAAUGCGUAGAGAUGUGGAGGAAUACCGAUGGCGAAGGCAGCCCCCUGGGCCAAAUACUGACGCUCAUGCACGAAAGCGUGGGGAGCAAACAGGAUUAGAUACCCUGGUAGUCCACGCCCUAAACGAUGUCAACUAGUUGUUGGGGAUUCAUUUCCUUAGUAACGUAGCUAACGCGUGAAGUUGACCGCCU